rnacentral:rRNA from 1 species
UACAGAGGGUGCGAGCGUUAAUCGGAAUUACUGGGCGUAAAGCGUGCGUAGACGGUUAUCUAAGUCGGAUGUGAAAGCCCCGGGCUCAACCUGGGAAUUGCAUUCGAGACUGAAUAGCUAGGGUGCGGUAGAGGGAAGCGGAGUUUCCGGUGUAGCGGUGAAAUGCGUAGAUAUCGGAAGGAACAUCAGUGGCGAAAGCGGCUUCCUGGACCAGCACCGACGUUCAGGCACGAAAGCGUGGGGAGCAAACAGG